rnacentral:rRNA from 1 species
CCAGUUCGGAUUGCAGGCUGCAACCCGCCUGUAUGAAGUUGGAAUCGCUAGUAAUCGCGGAUCAGCAUGCCGCGGUGAAUACGUUCCCGGGCCUUGUACACACCGCCCGUCACACCAUGAGAGUCGGGAACACCCGAAGUCCGUAGUCUAACCGCAAGGGGGACGCGGCCGAAGGUGGGUUCGAUAAUUGGGGUGAAGUCGUAACAAGGUACC